AGGACGUGCUCCUGUACACAGCAGUUGUGAGAGUACUCUUGCAAAAGGGGUGCUGGCUUUUUUGGAUGGUGGAUGAAGCAACAUUUUCAUUCAGGGAGAUCCUGCACUGCAUGGAGCUAAACUUUUAGAAAGAAAGCUCUGCAUUUUGAAUUGCUACAAAACUGAAAUGGGAUCAUGUUUCUACAGCAUCCUUAUGAAGUUAAAUUUCUUCUUCCCACUACUGUUACUAGAGUAAAAGUUCCAUACUGCCGAGUUUCCUGGUUUUGAACAAAAUACAGAAUCACAGAGUCACAUUGUGGUUGACGUUGGAAGGGACUUCUAGAGGCCUUCUGGUCCAAACUUUCUGCUCCAGCAGGGAGACCUGAAGCAUGCUGCCUGAGACCAUGUCCGGAUGGCUUUUGAAGACCUUCAAGGAUGGAGACUCCAUCACCAUUCUGGGCAACCUGUUCCCAUGCUGAGUAACCCUCACAGUAAAAAAGUGUUUCCUGAUGUUCAGAAGGAGCCUCACGUCUUUUGGUUUAUGCCUCUGGUCCUGUCACUGGGCUCCACUGGAAAGAGUCUGGCUCCAUCUUCUAAACACCCUCCCUUCAGAGAGCUCCACAGACAUGGAAUUUUAAAAUUCCGCCAGCUGUGUAACACUGUGUUCCUAUGAAGAGUUACAACCCAUGUGCAUGCCUACAGGACAUCUGAAGCUUUCUAUGUCCAGGACUGCAUUCAUAUAAGCCUCUUUACUGAACCCACAAGAGAAGAAAAGCUUGGAUGGAGCUGGAAAAUGAGGACAUCUUUUCUCCCGGCACCUUGCCUCCCAUCAGGAGAUUUGAUGGCAUAUGCCAAAUGCUAAGAAGACUGCAGAAAUUCUGUAAGGCUUAUAUAAGCAUCAGUAUUCCUGCAUGAAGAAUGGAAAUGCUCAGGGCAAAGAAGCUCAGUGUUGUGCUCAGCAUUGUACUUACACUUGUGGAGCCAAGGAAUAGAACAACUCCUGCACCUGACAGAAAGUCCUCCCAUGUUUCUGCCUGCUUCAAAUGGAUUAUGUUUCUGUCUUUUCAAGAAAAUCAUUGGUAGAAAAUGUAUUA